rnacentral:rRNA from 1 species
CAGCCGCCGCGGUAAUACAGAGGGUGCGAGCGUUAAUCGGAUUUACUGGGCGUAAAGCGUGCGUAGGCGGCUUCUUAAGUCGGAUGUGAAAUCCCUGAGCUUAACUUAGGAAUUGCAUUCGAUACUGGGAAGCUAGAGUAUGGGAGAGGAUGGUAGAAUUCCAGGUGUAGCGGUGAAAUGCGUAGAGAUCUGGAGGAAUACCGAUGGCGAAGGCAGCCAUCUGGCCUAAUACUGACGCUGAGGUACGAAAGCAUGGGAAGCAAACAGGAUUAGAUACCCCAGUAGUCCCUGUCUCUUAUAC